rnacentral:rRNA from 1 species
GAUGAACGCUGGCGGCGUGCCUAAUACAUGCAAGUCGAGCGAACAGACGAGGAGCUUGCUCCUCUGACGUUAGCGGCGGACGGGUGAGUAACACGUGGAUAACCGACCUAUAAGACUGGGAUAACUUCGGGAAACCUGAGCUAAUACCGGAUAAUAUAUUGAACCGCAUGGUUCUAUAGUGAAAGACGGUUUUGCUGUCACUUAUAGAUGGAUCCUCGCCGCAUUAGCUAGUUGGUAAGGUAACGGCUUACCAAGGCAACGAUGCGUAGCCGACCUGAGAGGGUGAUCGGCCACACUGGAACUGAGACACGGUCCAGACUCCUACGGGAGGCAGCAGUAGGGAAUCUUCCGCAAUGGGCGAAAGCCUGACGGAGCAACGCCGCGUGAGUGAUGAAGGUCUUCGGAUCGUAAAACUCUGUUAUUAGGGAAGAACAAAUGUGUAAGUAACUAUGCACGUCUUGACGGUACCUAAUCAGAAAGCCACGGCUAACUACGUG